rnacentral:tRNA from 1 species
GCCUUAGCUCAGCUGGGAGAGCGCCUGCUUUGCACGCAGGAGGUCAGCGGUUCGAUCCCGCUAGGC